GGGUUGUGAGGUUAAGCGACUAAGCGUACACGGUGGAUGCCCUGGCAGUCAGAGGCGAUGAAGGGCGUGCUAAUCUGCGAUAAGCGCCGGUAAGGUGAUAUGAACCGUUAUAACCGGCGAUACCCGAAUGGGGAAACCCAGUGUGACUCGUCACACUAUCAUUAACUGAAUCCAUAGGUUAAUGAGGCGAACCGGGGGAACUGAAACAUCUAAGUACCCCGAGGAAAAGAAAUCAACCGAGAUUCCCCCAGUAGCGGCGAGCGAACGGGGAGGAGCCCAGAGCCUGAAUCAGCAUGUGUGUUAGUGGAAGCGUCUGGAAAGGCGCGCGAUACAGGGUGACAGCCCCGUACACAAAAGCGCAUGUGCUGUGAGCUCGAUGAGUAGGGCGGGACACGUGGUAUCCUGUCUGAAUAUGGGGGGACCAUCCUCCAAGGCUAAAUACUCCUGACUGACCGAUAGUGAACCAGUACCGUGAGGGAAAGGCGAAAAGAACCCCGGCGAGGGGAGUGAAAAAGAACCUGAAACCGUGUACGUACAAGCAGUGGGAGCCCCACCACCAAAGCAUUCUCUGGUGUUGAAGGCCCUGCAAAGCAGCAUCGCGGUGGCGGAGCGUCGUUUGCGACGCCCAACACACAAAACAAGCGGUGAAUGCUUUGG
rnacentral:rRNA from 1 species